rnacentral:rRNA from 1 species
GAUGGGCCGCUGGAGAUACUACAAAGCUAGGGAGUGGGAGAGGCAGACGGUAUUCAGUGGGUAGGGGUAAAAUCCUCUGAUCCAUUGAGGGCCACCAGUGGCGAAGGCGGUCUGCCAGAACACGUUCGACGGUGAGGGAUGAAAGCUGGGGGAGCAAACCGGAUUAGAUACCCGGGUAGUCCCAGCUGUAAACGAUGCAAACUCGGUGAUGCAUUGGCUUAUUGCCAAUGCAGUGCCGCAGGGAAGCCGUUAAGUUUGCCGCCUGGGAAGUACGGACGCAAGUCUGAAACUUAAAGGAAUUGGCGGGGGAGCACCACAAGGGGUGAAGCCUGCGGUUCAAUUGGAGUCAACGCCGGG